GAUGAACGCUGGCGGCGUGCUUAACACAUGCAAGUCGAACGAUGAAGCCCAGCUUGCUGGGUGGAUUAGUGGCGAACGGGUGAGCAACACGUGAGUAACCUGCCCUUAACUCUGGGAUAAGCCUGGGAAACUGGGUCUAAUACCGGAUAGGAGCGUCCACCGCAUGGUGGGUGUUGGAAAGAUUUAUCGGUUUUGGAUGGACUCGCGGCCUAUCAGCUUGUUGGUGAGGUAAUGGCUCACCAAGGCGACGACGGGUAGCCGGCCUGAGAGGGUGACCGGCCACACUGGGACUGAGACACGGCCCAGACUCCUACGGGAGGCAGCAGUGGGGAAUAUUGCACAAUGGGCGCAAGCCUGAUGCAGCGACGCCGCGUGAGGGAUGACGGCCUUCGGGUUGUAAACCUCUUUCAGUAGGGAAGAAGCGAAAGUGACGGUACCUGCAGAAGAAGCACCGGCUAACUACGUG
rnacentral:rRNA from 1 species